GUUGCCUUCACUUCUGCUGCAAUCCAAAUUAGAAUAUCUGGACUUCUCCCCACUUCAAAUGAAGAUGUCGUGAAGGAAACAUCAAACUACAUUCUUGGGAAGGUUUUAAAGGAAACGGUGCUAAACCUUGGUCCUACUUUUAUCAAGAUUGGUCAGUCUCUCUCAACAAGGCCCGAUAUAAUUGGUUCUGAAAUUACAAAGGCACUGUCUGAGCUCCAUGAUCGAAUUCCACCUUUCCCCAAGGACGUGGCCAUGAAGAUCAUCGAGGAAGACUUGGGUUCUCCUAUUUCGACAUAUUUUAGCUACAUCUCUGAAGAACCUGUUGCUGCAGCUUCAUUUGGUCAGGUGUAUAGAGGGAGUACUCUCGAUGGUUCAAGCGUGGCUGUGAAAGUUCAGCGGCCAGACUUGCGCCAUGUGGUAGUUCGGGAUGUAUAUAUUCUUCGUGUUGCGCUGGGACUCGUGCAGAAGAUAGCAAAAAGGAAAAAUGAUCUUCGUCUCUAUGCAGACGAGCUUGGAAGAGGGUUGGUUGGGGAGUUAGAUUACACCUGCGAAGCUGAAAAUGCCAUGAAGUUUCAGGAAGUCCAUUCUACAUAUUCUUUCAUCUGUGUUCCAAAUGUUUAUCAACGUCUAAGCGGAAAGAGAGUUUUGACUAUGGAAUGGCUCGUUGGUGAGAGUCCAACUGAUUUGCUGAUGAUGUCCUCAGA
rnacentral:misc_RNA from 1 species